GGCCGGUCUGAGUGUAGAGGUGUCUAGACACUAAUUGAGCACAACUCGUGAUACAUUUCUUUGCUCUUCCUCCACUCUCACUGCUUCACUUGACUAGCCUUCA
rnacentral:Y_RNA from 1 species